GCCUGGGUGGCUCAGUCAGUUGAGCUUCUGACUUAGGCUCAGGUUAUGAUCUCACAGUCCGUGAGUUCGAGCCCCGCGUCGGGCU
rnacentral:tRNA from 1 species